UUCUGCAAUAAUAUUAUACUGUAAAAAGCUUUUAUAACUUCCUAAAUAUUCUCAUUGCAUGUGAGAGUAUUAUUUUUACGAGGUGGGGGGUGGCGAGCACCGAUGAGGAAUUGAAGCAGGUCCACGUGUAUUCACCAACUCAUUAUGGAAACAUAUGUUAACACUUUUGAUAUGUGCCACGCAUAAAGUGUUCACUAAAUGUUGAAUACAACGUCAGCCGAACGUCUUUUGAGAAAUUUGAAACAACAGGCCUCUGUUGAAACUUAGAAAAAGGAUCGAGGCAGGGGUGAGCGUAAUGGGUGGUGGAGGCGAGCCUCCAGCGAGAGCUUUUCAGUGGAGCUCUGAAAAAAGACAAAAACUAGCGAGGCUUCAUGGAAACUAUGGAAGGCCUAAAUUGGAGAGCCCUAGCUCAUUCCUGCGAAGCUUUCCCCUAGUAAGCCUAGCGAGCUUUAGAUAAAGACAAAACCGGAUUGAGCCUCCUUUUGCCUUUAGUAUUAGUCAUAUAACUUCAACAUACCCGUUAGUACUUGAAGCUCUUGCAAUGGUCAUAGAUUUGUCAUAUAUAUCGACGCGGAGGUUCAUAACUAUAUAUCCUUUUCUCCAAGAAAUUUACUCGUUUAUAUUCAAGAAAAUGUGGUCACGGUGUGGUUCGUUUAUGUAAUUCUUGUUGUUCUAUUACAAAGGAUUGUCUAUCUUCAGCUUUGUGGAUUGUUAUAAAACCAUUUCUUCUUUAUUAAUAUGGCUACUUAUUUA